GGAUGCGAUCAUACCAGCACUAAAGCACCGGAUCCCAUCAGAACUUCGAAGUUAAGCGUGCUUGGGCGAGAGUAGUACUAGGAUGGGCGACCUCCUGGGAAGUCCUCGUGUUGCAUUCC
rnacentral:rRNA from 1 species